rnacentral:misc_RNA from 1 species
UCAUUCACAACCCUCAAGCCCGGCUUGUAGUUGGGGUCGGUCCCUCCCGACCGCCCCGAAAGGCAGUGGCGGCGUCGCGUCGGACCCGUGGUGCAACGAGCUGUCCCCAGCAUGCACCGGCGGGACGGCGUGGCCCGGCCUCGACCCCCAUGUUUUCUCAGGUUGACCUCGGAUCAGGUAGGAAUACCCGCUGAACCUAA